GCCAGUAUGGUGUAGUGGUUUGAAUGCUGGACUAUGACUGGAGACCAGGGUUCGAUUCUCCGCUCAGCCA